UUGAUUUGGUCAUGGAUUUCAUCUCCCGUAGGCCGCACCCCUCUUAGAUCCAGCUUGGGUGUGAGGAUGGUGGCGAGGUUCUCUUCCCCAAGCGCGCAAGCAAGAGCGUUGUCGCUCUUUCCACUCGAGGCAGCUCGGGACAUGGUCCUCAUCCUCCACAGCGACAACAUUCUUCGAAGGUCGACCUGCAGGUCCCCAUUUUUCGUUUUCCCAACUCUGUCAUAUUUCCCCCUUUUUGUUGAGUUACUUGCCCUACAUAAACAUAAAUCCUAAUUAGUAGAAGUAAGAUAUUGUUUCAUCUCCGGCAGAAGCACUUUAUUUCUCCUUGUGGGAAUGGAAAAAUAUUUUUUGCUUUAGCCACAGUGCAUGCAUACGUGUUAUACUUAGCUAUAGAUAGACCAAAAUGUAACAUGUUUUUGUGAUUUCAUAGAGCAAUUAAAAUUAGCCGCACUCAAAGAUAUGGAAAUUCAUGGGCGUCCGAACUUUAUAACCACUUUUUUUACGGUAAAAUGUGUGAGAUACUCCCUCCGUUUUUAUUUAGUCCGCAUAUUAGCUUUGGUCAAAGUCAAGCUUUGUGAACUUUGACUAAGUUCAUAAACAAAAAUAUUAACAUAUACAAUAAAAAAUCAAUACCACUAGAUUCAUUAUUGAAUGUACUUUCACAUCAUAUAGAUUUGUUAUGGUAAAUGUUUAUAUAUUUUUCUAUAAACUUGGUCAAACUUUGCAAAGUUUGACUUUGGUCAAACCUAAUAUGCAGACUAAAUAAAAACGGAGGGAGUACAACUUUACUACAUCAAAACCACCGAGUUAAUGAAGGUAAGUUUUCAUGCUUUGAAAUAUUUGAGCUGCACAUAGAUAGCAGAACUGAUGUGCAAAGCAUAAGCAAGGUACAUAAUGCUGCUUCCUGUAUACUGUAAUACCAGUUGUGCAUUCUUAAAAUUUAGAAAUUGAACUGAGAACUGUAAUUAAAUCAAAUGGAUGAUAACCUGCAUAAGGGUGAAACUUUGUGGAGAUUUUCUUACUUCGCAUGGAUCAAAGUUUCUCCUUUGUGUGUAGCCGCGAAGUCUGGCACAUCUCCAUUUAUGAUUGGAGGUUGUAUCUUUUUCUUGUCUUGAAGUUUCAUUCUCCUUCCAAUCUUGCCAUUUUUGUUGAUUGUCUCGACUUGCAUCAAUAAGAUAACAAUUUAAAAUACGUUUUAUCGUUGAAGCUAAAAUUAAUUAGGAACCUCCAACGCCUAACUGGAACUGUUGCAUUUUUUGUUUUAAUUUUGUUGUGAUAGCACACACAAAAUAUUCAUCAUUAGUAACGGAUCACCUUGUUGGAUUACAUAUAUGUUUUGUUUUAACCAUCUUGGCAGGUUUCUAACCUUCCUUGUUAUGUGGCCCAUCUUUUCUUUUCAUUGUUGAUUCCUGCACAUUAGAGAGUGCAAAUAUAAAGCUAAAGCUCUCUUUUCAAUCCAAUGAAAUGCAAGCUCUUUUGCGUUUUCUUGAAAAAAUCAAAUAAAGCUAAAGUGGAUGGUAUUAUAAUAUUAUUACAGACAGUGGUGGACCUAGAGAUCGUGCUUUGCUGUGGCGAUGGACGACGAUAAAUAUCAUGGCGGUGCUCCCGCUGGUCAUUGGACAGGGGAGUACCCUUCUCGGCCGCUUGAGACCUUGACCAGCUGCCCCGCUUGAUGGUGGGUGUGCUACUAUUACAUAUUAAUGCUCAAGUUUAUGAAUAUUCAUUAUUUUUAUUACUUUUCACCCUAUAAAUAAUUUUUUGGUCGUACAAGUAAAGGAGAUCAAUUUUCGAGACCAGUGUUUUGCAGAAAUCUUUAAUGAUAAAGAGGAACUUCAGUUUCAAUCAUCAUGUGAAUACACAAAUAUCAUGAGUAUUUUUUAGUAGAAGCCGACCGAAGCAAUCUCUACCUGAUUAAUGAGGUGCUCCCUCCGUUCCAAAAUAGAUGACACAACUUUGUACUAAAGUUAGUACAAAGUUGGGUCAUCUAUUUUGGAACGGAGGGAGUACUUUAUUAGACAAAAUUACCGAGGUACUCAUGCAAAGUAUUAUGUGAACCAUUAUCUAAUCUACAAACUCCAAGUGAUUACCAUACUGCACUAUCAUGUACUUCUUAAUUGAUUUGAGGCCUAUGGAAGCCAUCCCACAACCCAAAAUAUAGUAGAGGAUCACCCUAGAAUAAGAUUUUAGUUUAGCACUGCCCAGAGUAAUUGAGGGUCUCCAUUUGUUUUUCAUUUUUUUUGUGGGGGUAUAGUGGGCGACAUCCUCUCAUUAUCCAUUAAUAGGUCUGAUCUAUAAUUUCAUGCAGAUCGUACAUACUGGAGGUGAUCUAGUUGCUCAACGGAGCCGGCUGGUGCCCAAUGCCGAAGUGCCACUGGUUGGAGGAAGUUGACCUUAAAGUGUUGUUCAAUGGAGGAAGAUGAUGUACAAGGUUGUUCGGAUGCCGAGAGAUUUUUUAUAUGCAUGCAACCAUGAGAUUUUGGUCCUAUCUAGAGAUAUUCUGUUUGGAGAGAUCAAAUCUCUGCAAAUUUCUGAGAGUUUGGAUUUGUUUGGAGGGAUGGCAUCUUUGUACAGUUUUUUUGUGGGCAGGAUCUUCAGAGUUUGGUCAUGUUUCUUACCCUGUACGCCCUAUUUUUUUAUUACAUGGGAUGGUCUGAUCGCUCGUGGGAUGGUGCAGCCUGUUUUUUAUUAGUUGAUGGUCCAGCUUAUCAUGAGUUUGUGUA
rnacentral:lncRNA from 1 species